UACGUAGGUCCCGAGCGUUAUCCGGAUUUAUUGGGCGUAAAGCGAGCGCAGGCGGUUAGAUAAGUCUGGAGUAAAAGGCUAUGGCUCAACCAUAGUGUGCUCUGGAAACUGUUUAACUUGAGUGCAGAAGGGGGGAGUGGAAUUCCAUGUGUAGCGGUGAAAUGCGUAGAUAUAUGGAGGAACACCGGUGGCGAAAGCGGCUCUCUGGUCUGUAACUGACGCUGAGGCUCGAAAGCGUGGGUAGCGAACAGG
rnacentral:rRNA from 1 species